GUUUCCGAGGUCAGGGCAUUCCGUCCCGCCCCGCCGCCGGUGCAGUGUUGGAAGCUCCGGUUCUCCCGGAAGUGGCCCAGGUCUCUCUGUCGGGGUCCCCUCCAUCUCGCUGCUGCUGAAGGCCGCGAGGGCGGCGGCGAUGGCGGAGGCGGCGCUGUUGCUGCUGCCUGAGGCGGCGGCGGAGCGGGACGCUAGGGAAAAGCUGGCUCUCUGGGAUCGGAGACCGGACACGACGGCGCCGCUGACCGACAGGCAGACGGACUCGGUAUUGGAGCUGAAGGCGGCGGCAGAGAACCUGCCGGUGCCAGCUGAGCUGGUGCUCGCCGGAACCCAGUCCUCCCCCAGCAGCAUGGGACGGUUGGCCCGGAGCCUUGCACCGAACUUUUUGCCCCAGACGAGGCGUCCUGUCAGCCGAGGCGUAAUCCUGCUGCCCACUCUCUCCCAGAAGGAGAGGCAGUGAACCCGAGGUGCUGUGCUGCAGGACAGUCUCCAGCGCGUGCUCGUUUACCGCCUUAAUGAUUCACCUAGGUU
rnacentral:sRNA from 1 species